rnacentral:rRNA from 1 species
CCUACGGGAGGCAGCAGUGGGGAAUAUUGGGCAAUGGGCGCAAGCCUGACCCAGCAACGCCGCGUGAAGGAAGAAGGCUUUCGGGUUGUAAACUUCUUUUAAGGGGGAAGAGCAGAAGACGGUACCCCUUGAAUAAGCUACGGCUAACUACGUGCCAGCAGCCGCGGUAAUACGUAGGUUGCAAGCGUUGUCCGGAUUUACUGGGUGUAAAGGGCGUGCAGCCGGAGAUACAAGUCAGAUGUGAAAUCCACGGGCUCAACCCGUGAACUGCCGUUGAAACUGUUACCCUUGAGUGUCGGUGAGGUAAGCGGAAUGCGUUGUGUAGCGGUGAAAUGCGUAGAUAUAAGGAAGAACACCAGUGGCGAAGGCGGAUUACUAGACCAUAACUGACGGUGAGGCGCGAAAGCGUGGGGAGCAAACAGGAUUAGAUACCCUGGUAGUC